CGACGCGCUCCUUGAGCGGCGGCCCGAGUAACUCACAGGAGUGAACGUCAUCGAUCACCCGAACGGAGGCUGAACUGGCGACCUAGGCUCGCGCCACAACAUCAAAUCGACGGCCCCCGGCGGGAUGCCGGUCCCGACCGAGGGCCUGACCAGCAAGGAAGGAAAGGCUUCCUC
rnacentral:ncRNA from 1 species